rnacentral:rRNA from 1 species
AGACCCGAAACCCGGUGAUCUAGCCAUGGGCAGGUUGAAGGUUGGGUAACACUAACUGGAGGACCGAACCGACUAAUGUUGAAAAAUUAGCGGAUGACCUGUGGCUGGGGGUGAAAGGCCAAUCAAACCGGGAGAUAGCUGGUUCUCCCCGAAAGCUAUUUAGGUAGCGCCUCGUGAAUUCAUCUCCGGGGGUAGAGCACUGUUUCGGCUAGGGGGCCAUCCCGGCUUACCAACCCGAUGCAAACUGCGAAUACCGGAGAAUGUUAUCACGGGAGACACACGGCGGGUGCUAACGUCCGUCGUGAAGAGGGAAACAACCCAGACCGCCAGCUAAGGUCCCAAAGUCAUGGUUAAGUGGGAAACGAUGUGGGAAGGCCCAGACAGCCAGGAUGUUGGCUUAGAAGCAGCCAUCAUUUAAAGAAAGCGUAAUAGCUCACUGGUCGAGUCGGCCUGCGCGGAAGAUGUAACGGGGCUAAACCAUGCACCGAAGCUGCGGCAGCGACACUCAGGUGUUGUUGGGUAGGGGAGCGUUCUGUAAGCCUGUGAAGGUGUGUCGUGAGGCAUGCUGGAGGUAUCAGAAGUGCGAAUGCUGACAUAAGUAACGAUAAAGCGGGUGAAAAGCCCGCUCGCCGGAAGACCAAGGGUUCCUGUCCAACGUUAAUCGGGGCAGGGUGAGUCGACCCCUAAGGCGAGGCCGAAAGGCGUAGUCGAUGGGAAACGGGUUAAUAUUCCCGUACUUGGUGUUACUGCGAAGGGGGGACGGAGAAGGCUAUGUUGGCCGGGCGACGGUUGUCCCGGUUUAAGCGUGUAGGUGUGUGUUCCAGGUAAAUCCGGUUCACUUUAACACUGAGGCGUGAUGACGAGGCACUACGGUGCUGAAGCAACAAAUGCCCUGCUUCCAGGAAAAGCCUCUAAGCAUCAGGUAACAUCAAAUCGUACCCCAAACCGACACAGGUGGUCAGGUAGAGAAUACCAAGGCGCUUGAGAGAACUCGGGUGAAGGAACUAGGCAAAAUGGUGCCGUAACUUCGGGAGAAGGCACGCUGACAUGUAGGUGAAGUGAUUUACUCAUGGAGCUGAAGUCAG